rnacentral:lncRNA from 1 species
CAGGUCCUAAAAUGAAUCCCAUUUUGAAUAACAUAGUAACCAAGUGCAGGAGAGCUCUGCUGUCACUCCUUGAGGUAUUUUUCUUUUGUUUCAGUAGUCUUACUCGAAUUUGUUUUCAGAGUCAACAACAGUACUGCACAAUUUAACAUCAAGAAUUUUCUGCUGUUGCUGCUUCUCCUCCUCUCCUCCUUUCCCUCUCACCACAAACUCUCCCCCAUCACUUCCUACCACCCCAAAAAGAUGGGGUGGCUGAGGCACAUAAACAAGUGGCUCUGGAAAUUAACUUUCUUGACCAGAAGAAAGCUCAAAGAUAAAUUCCAUUCUGCAUUACUUUUCCUAUACUUCACUAUGAUCAGGAUUUUUUGUGGUUUCUCUCUCCCUGGAGAGCGACUACCUGAGUGAUAACAUUUCUGACACACAGAAGCUUAAAAACAGAAGGAAAGCACUCUGUGUUAUCUUGUUGGGAAAUCUGUACUCUUAAAUGAUGACCAUUCACCCACAAUCUAGGCCAUUUUUGAGCCACAGGAAAGAGGCCACUUC